rnacentral:misc_RNA from 1 species
UUUCCGUAGGUGAACCUGCGGAAGGAUCAUUAUUGUAUAACCGAGGUGCGAGGGCUGUCGCUGACCCGAAAGGUCGUGCACGCCCGAGUGCCCUCACACACAUCCAUCUCACCCCUAUGUGCACCACCGCGUGGGUCCCCCUUUGGCGUGUUCGGAGGGGGGCUUACGUUUUCACACAAACUUUGUAUGCAGUGUAGAAUGUAUUUUUUGUUUUUGCGAUCACGCAAUCAAUACAACUUUCAACAACGGAUCUCUUGGCUCUCGCAUCGAUGAAGAACACAGC